CAAUUGCUACCUACACUCCCAUCAAUUUCUCUCUGCAGCCCGUCAUUACUUUUAAAUCCAUUUCUGCCCUUGUUUGUGAAAUGGUGAAGGUAUCGAAAUCUAAAAUAAACUUCCGUAAAAUAUAAUCCAGAAUAAGGGUGAGAGGUGGGAAAUUGAUUUUUGGAUUUUUCUUUCCAGAUGCGUAGUAUAUAAUUCCGGAAAAUUAAAUCUGUAAUAAUAUUUGCGGACUAUCGCUGGACUCUUCUCCGGUGCAGGGAACACAAAGGCUUGGAACAAUAUGCCACUAGCUACACAACCAGGGAUAAAGGUGCCAUGAAAAAAAUUAGGAUUAAUGUAAAAAAAAAAAAAAAAAGGUUAAAAGGUCAGUUCUGAUAUUUUACAUGUUUGAUGGGGUGCAGGAAGAAAAAUGAUAAAGUGCGCGAAGCAAUAGCCUUGUAGAUUGGUUGCCGAAGUUACUUGGCCCUAACCCUUUGGAUUUAUUUUGUGGGAGUAGUUGGAAUUUUAA
rnacentral:lncRNA from 1 species